rnacentral:rRNA from 1 species
AUACGUAGGGGGCGAGCGUUGUCCGGAAUGAUUGGGCGUAAAGGGCGCGUAGGCGGCGCGGUAAGUCUGGAGUGAAAGUCCUGCUUUCAAGGUGGGAAUUGCUUUGGAUACUGCCGCGCUUGAGUGCAGGAGAGGUUAUCGGAAUUCCCGGUGUAGCGGUGAAAUGCGUAGAGAUCGGGAGGAACACCAGUGGCGAAGGCGGCUUACGGGGCUGGAACUGACGCGGAGGCGCGAAAGCGUGUGGAGCAAACAGGAUUAGGUACCCUGGUAGUCCACGCCGUAAACGAUGAAUGCUAGGUGUUAGGGGUUUCAAUACCCUUGGUGCCGAAGUUAACACAUUAAGCAUUCCGCCUGGGGAGUACGGUCGCAAGACUGAAACUCAAAGGAAUUGACGG